UGGUGGGUAGUUUGACUGGGGCGGUCUCCUCCUAAAGAGUAACGGAGGAGCACGAAGGUUGGCUAAUCCUGGUCGGACAUCAGGAGGUUAGUGCAAUGGCAUAAGCCAGCUUGACUGCGAGCGUGACGGCGCGAGCAGGUGCGAAAGCAGGUCAUAGUGAUCCGGUGGUUCUGAAUGGAAGGGCCAUCGCUCAACGGAUAAAAGGUACUCCGGGGAUAACAGGCUGAUACCGCCCAAGAGUUCAUAUCGACGGCGGUGUUUGGCACCUCGAUGUCGGCUCAUCACAUCCUGGGGCUGAAGUAGGUCCCAAGGGUAUGGCUGUUCGCCAUUUAAAGUGGUACGCGAGCUGGGUUUAGAACGUCGUGAGACAGUUCGGUCCCUAUCUGCCGUGGGCGCUGGAGAACUGAGGGGGGCUGCUCCUAGUACGAGAGGACCGGAGUGGACGCAUCACUGGUGUUCGGGUUGUCAUGCCAAUGGCACUGCCCGGUAGCUAAAUGCGGAAGAGAUAAGUGCUGAAAGCAUCUAAGCACGAAACUUGCCCCGAGAUGAGUUCUCCCUGAGACUUUAGGUCUCCUGAAGGAACGUUGAAGACGACGACGUUGAUAGGCCGGGUGUGUAAGCGCAGCGAUGCGUUGAGCUAACCGG
rnacentral:rRNA from 1 species